rnacentral:rRNA from 1 species
CCGUACCUACGGGAGGCAGCAGUGAGGAAUAUUGGUCAAUGGGCGCGAGCCUGAACCAGCCAAGUCGCGUGAGGGAAGACGGUCCUAUGGGUUGUAAACCUCUUUUGUCGGGGAGCAAAAGACGCCACGUGUGGCGUUCCGAGAGUACCCGAAGAAAAAGCAUCGGCUAACUCCGUGCCAGCAGCCGCGGUAAUACGGAGGAUGCGAGCGUUAUCCGGAUUUAUUGGGUUUAAAGGGUGCGCAGGCGGAAGAUCAAGUCAGCGGUAAAAUUGAGAGGCUCAACCUCUUCGAGCCGUUGAAACUGG